rnacentral:ncRNA from 1 species
CGAGCCUCUGGAGAGACUCAUUAUGAGCACCGAAGGAGCAAGGCAAAUUCUAAUUUAAGAAUUUAAUUUGUUGAAACUCUCAGGUAAAAGGACAGGGGAU